CUGGCCCUCCCCCCAGCAUCCUCUUCCCAGUUCAAGAAGCGCCUCUCCGUCUUCCAGGACUCGGACUCCGAGAUGGAAGACUUUAUAGACGACGAGGGCGCCGAGGAGGAAAUCUCGUCCCACAUCCGGGCCAUCUUCGGCUACGAGCCGCUACUUUGACGACCGUACGAUGAAGUUCAACUUUGCGCAGGUCCAGCGCGAAGAGUACAUCAGCAAGAAGAUUGACCUGCAGGAGUACAUCGAGGACAUACGGCUCGAAGAGGAGGAGGAGAAGCGGCAGAAGGCGCUCGCGAAGAAGGCCUCGGCCAAAGAGAGCAGUGGUAAGAGGAAGUGAGGGGGAUGCACCCGGGCUGGACAACCUCUACCGUUCGAAGCAAGCGAAACCGGAAAGUGCACGCAAAACCAAGAUAACGAACCUCCGUCGGGUUGUAUGACGCCCACGAAUGAUCCUGCACCGCCGUCAACUGUAUACUCCUAUACUAUAGCGACUCCCUUUCGCAACUCGAUUUCGAAAUGGCGAUCGCAGCGGUUCGAGGGCCACCCACGUCCUAAUUCGUGUUCUGCAACUGUGGAAGCUUGAUGGUGCCAGCAGACAGUCUGAAUGUACCUUCCGGCAAUCGCAUCGAAUGUCGGAGUUUACCUUCAAUGUUCGACGAAAAUUUAGACUUCAUCCACAUUUAGAGGACGCCUUCCUCACGGCAGACGCUAAUUCCACCGAACGCCUGAUCAACAGUUACUGAGGAUCGUAUAUGUGUACAUUGACGACUAUUUAGGGCAUGGCCAGCUGCAACUAGGUGCCGACAUGGUUGGUCGAUGACGCGCACUAUUUGGACGAGUUCGAUUAAGACACAAAGAAGACGAUCUAUAAUUCCAAAGAAAAUAAGCGAGAAGGCAGCAAAGGGAACCAAGAAACAACUCCGAGACGUGGUCUGGAUCGUGCUUGCUCGACUAUUGUUUGUGGUUCCAUAGGAAGUUCUGGAAGUGGAUCCGGUACUGGAGAAAAUUGAAAACGCAAUGGAGGAUUUUGUUAAGUUUUAAAAACCCGAUGCAAGCAGAAUAAAUGUAAUUUCCAACAGCAAA